rfam:Schistosoma mansoni strain Puerto Rico chromosome 6, complete genome
GCACUGUUGAGGAGUCCCACAAUAGGACGAAACGGUCGUUCAGUGC